GCGGGGGGGAGUCUAACACAUGCAGUCGAGCGGUAACAGGAAGAAGCUUGCUUCUUUGCUGACGAGCGGCGGACGGGUGAGUAAUACUUGGGAACUUGCCUUUAGGAGGGGGAUAACCGCUGGAAACGGUGGCUAAUACCGCAUAAUGUCUACGGACCAAAGCAGGGGCUCUUCGGACCUUGCACCUAAAGAUAGGCCCAAGCGAGAUUAGCUAGUUGGUGGGGUAAAGGCCCACCAAGGCGACGAUCUCUAGCUGUUCUGAGAGGAUGAUCAGCCACACUGGGACUGAGACACGGCCCAGACUCCUACGGGAGGCAGCAGUGGGGAAUAUUGCACAAUGGGGGAAACCCUGAUGCAGCCAUGCCGCGUGUGUGAAGAAGGCCUUCGGGUUGUAAAGCACUUUCAGUGGUGAGGAAGGCCGUAAGAUUAAUACUCUUGCGGAUUGACGUUAACCACAGAAGAAGCACCGGCUAACUCCGUGCCAGCAGCCGCGGUAAU
rnacentral:rRNA from 1 species